rnacentral:rRNA from 1 species
UACGAAGGGGGCUAGCGUUGCUCGGAAUCACUGGGCGUAAAGGGUGCGUAGGCGGGUCUUUAAGUCAGGGUGAAAUCCUGGAGCUCAACUCCAGAACUGCCUUUGAUACUGAAGAUCUUGAGUUCGGGAGAGGUGAGUGGAACUGCGAGUGUAGAGGUGAAAUUCGUAGAUAUUCGCAAGAACACCAGUGGCGAAGGCGGCUCACUGGCCCGAUACUGACGCUGAGACGCGAAAGCGUGGGGAGCAAACAGGG